GACGAACGCUGGCGGCGUGCUUAACACAUGCAAGUCGAACGGAAAGGCCUCUUUCGGGGGGUACUCGAGUGGCGAACGGGUGAGUAACACGUGAGUAACCUGCCCUUGACUUUGGGAUAACUUCAGGAAACUGGGGCUAAUACCGGAUAGGAGCUCCUGCUGCAUGGUGGGGGUUGGAAAGUUUCGGCGGUUGGGGAUGGACUCGCGGCUUGUCAGCUUGUUGGUGGGGUAGUGGCUUACCAAGGCUUUGACGGGUAGCCGGCCUGAGAGGGUGACCGGCCACAUUGGGACUGAGAUACGGCCCAGACUCCUACGGGAGGCAGCAGUGGGGAAUAUUGCACAAUGGGUGGAAGCCUGAUGCAGCAACGCCGUGUGCGGGGGGACGGCCUUCGGGUUGUAAACCGCUUUCGCUCAUGACGAAGCUUUGUGUGACGGUAGUGGGUAAAGAAGCACCGGCUAACUACGUG
rnacentral:rRNA from 1 species